rnacentral:rRNA from 1 species
UAAUUCGAUGCAACGCGAAGAACCUUACCUGGUCUUGACAUACAGAGAACUUUCCAGAGAUGGAUUGGUGCCUUCGGGAACUCUGAUACAGGUGCUGCAUGGCUGUCGCCAGCUCGUGUCGUGAGAUGUUGGGUUAAGUCCCGUAACGAGCGCAACCCUUAUCCUUAUUUGCCAGCACUUCGGGUGGGAACUAUAAGGAGACUGCCGGUGAUAAACCGGAGGAAGGCGGGGACGACGUCAAGUCAUCAUGGCCCUUACGACCAGGGCUACACACGUGCUACAAUGGGAAGGACAAAGGGUCGCUAAGCCGCGAGGUGGUGCUAAUCUCAUAAACCUUUUCGUAGUCCGGAUCGGAGUCUGCAACUCGACUCCGUGAAGUCGGAAUCGCUAGUAAUCGUGGAUCAGAACGCCACGGUGAAUACGUUCCCGGGUCUUGUACACACCGCCCGUCAUACCAUGGGAGUGGGUUGCACCAGA